UGUCAUUCAAUCCUUAUCUUUGUACUCGGUUUUAGAAGAUUGAGAAAUCAUUGCCUUUAAUUUCACUCAAGGUACAACACCACCACAUGCAUUGCACAUAGAUGAUGAAAAGGAAAUCAAACUUGUAAACAAAGGCAUUUGAGAUAAUAAAGGACAUUAAUUUUCCUCCAACAAAGGGUCAACGCUCAUCUGUUAUUGCUUUUUUUAUUUUCCUUUUUUUGGUGGUUGAUAUCCUUUGUUUCUCAAUCUCUGCUGAAGCACUUUUUUUUUGGUUAACUUUGUAUCCUAUUCUUAACAAGCAAAAGCGUCGAUUUGAUACAUUGCAUGUAGAGCUUCGAUUACCCUGUUGAGGUCUCAAAUCUCUCGUGAUUGAAGGCCUACCAAGACACAGGAUGUUGGUAUCCCUGGACUUGCUCGCCAAGUUAGCAUUUUCCAUCACUAGAGUGACAACUCAUGCCAUAUCUGCAUCAAGGAUUUGAGGGGGAAACACAAAAUAAUCUUUGAAGAUAAAAAUGUCUGCAUAUUGUGAUACACGGAAAAGAUAAAAGAUUUCCAUAUCCAAAUUGCCAAAAAUGAAUGUAUAAUAAUAUAUACUUUAGAAAAUGUUAGUGCAAUAUUCUUUAAGAGUUUAAUUAAGGACUGACUUAUAUUGAGGGAUAAAAAAAAACCCAAGUGUUUUAUUUUAGAGUUUAUUAUAUUUUAGGAUAUCAUAUAUUCAUAUGUAUUAUUAUAAUUAUGUUAUAUAUAUAUAUAUAUAUAUUAUAUACAUAUUGAUUAAACACAAUUUUAGUAUCAAAAUUGAGAAGGCCUUUGGAUUUGGUGUUCGGCGCAUACAAUUGGUACGAUUCGUAAUUGUCGUGUUUGGUCCACUGAAGAAUAAAUUAAUGCGACCAAUUGAGUAAGUGGUUGGAUCUGUCAAGUGAAUUAACGAUCAAGUUUGAAUGACCCGCGCAAUUGAGGUUGUUGAUUUGAGUCGGGUUCCUCUAGUUUGCAAAGUUGUAGAGGAAUUAAAUUGUAGAAGCUAAUUUCAAGGUUAUUCGCUUGGUAAGAGUUAGUUGCCGUGUUAUUCUUGCAAUUAAUUUAAAUACAAAGGGGCUAGCGAUUUGAGAAUCGGAUUAACCAACCAAAGUUAGCUUUAGUCAUUAUGUAUUGAACAGAAGCAAAAAGCUUUAAUAACGGUUGGACGAUAGUAAAAAGUCAUAGCAAAUCCUAUAGCUACUUAUACCAAAAAACAAGUAAGCGUAAUUACUCCUAGACAAUAAAAUAUGUUAACAUGAGGAGGAACAUAUUUACUAGUUAUGUCAUCUACAAUCGCCUAAAUUUCGAGGCGUUCCUCAUAAAAAGUUUGAAAUUUCUUAAUCUUUUCAUUCAAUUUUAUCUGAAGACACAAAAGACUGAAAAUCCAAAAGCUCUUUUUUGCAGUUGUAAUUAUAAAGCCAAAAAAUUAAGUUAGCGCAAUCAUCUUUAUGUUGAUCGUUACAAACCUCUUGAAUCUUCUAUUUACCUACUUAUUUGUAUCUCAAGCCUUGAGCUUUCAUUAUAUCAGUUUACUCAAUUUUAAUUUUGUCUGUUUA